AUGCCUGUUUCUAGGGGAGCAAUUGUGCUGACCCAGUCUCCAGGCUCAGUGUCUGUGCGCUCAGGAGAGAGAGUCACCAUCAGCUGCAAGGCCAGUCAGAGUGUGGUACAUACGGAUGGAAACACUUACCUAAAAUGGUUCCACCAUAAACCUGGACAGUCUCCUCGGUUACUCAUUUACAAGAUUUCCAGCCUGCACUCUGGAGUCCCUGCCCGCUUCAGUGGCAGUGGUGCUGAGAAGGAUUUCUCCCUCACAAUCAGCAGUGUGGAGGCUGAAGAUGGGGCAGACUAUUACUGUGCUCAAGGAUCUUAUUCUCCUCCCACAGUGUUACAGCCCUGA